GACGAACGCUGGCGGCGUGCUUAGCACAUGCAAGUCGAACGGAAAGGCCCUGCUUUUGUGGGGUGCUCGAGUGGCGAACGGGUGAGUAACACGUGAGUAACCUGCCCUUGACUUUGGGAUAACUCCAGGAAACUGGGGCUAAUACCGGAUAGGAGCUCCUGCUGCAUGGUGGGGGUUGGAAAGAUUCGGCGGUUGGGGAUGGACUCGCGGCUUAUCAGCUUGUUGGUGGGGUAGUGGCUUACCAAGGCUUUGACGGGUAGCCGGCCUGGGAGGGUUGCCGGCCACAUUGGUACUGAGAUACGGCCCAGACUCCUACGGGAGGCAGCAGUGGGGAAUAUUGCGCAAUGGGCGGAAGCCUGAUGCAGCAACGCCGCGUGCGGGAUGACGGCCUUCGGGUUGUAAACCGCUUUCGCCUGUGACGAAGCGUGAGUGACGGUAAUGGGUAAAGAAGCACCGGCUAACUACGUG
rnacentral:rRNA from 1 species